GACGAACGCUGGCGGCGUGCUUAACACAUGCAAGUCGAGCGGUAAGGCCCUUUCGGGGGUACACGAGCGGCGAACGGGUGAGUAACACGUGGGUGACCUGCCCUUAGCUCUGGGAUAAGCCUGGGAAACUGGGUCUAAUACCGGAUAUCACUCCAUGACGCAUGUUGUGGGGUGGAAAGCCUUGUGCGGCUAGGGAUGGGCCUGCGGCCUAUCAGCUUGUUGGUGGGGUGAUGGCCUACCAAGGCGACGACGGGUAGCCGGCCUGAGAGGGCGACCGGCCACACUGGGACUGAGACACGGCCCAGACUCCUACGGGAGGCAGCAGUGGGGAAUCUUGCGCAAUGGGCGAAAGCCUGACGCAGCGACGCCGCGUGGGGAUGACGGCCU
rnacentral:rRNA from 1 species